UCGGAUAUGGUGUAAUGGUUAACAUUACCGCCUCUCAUGAUGAUACCUCAACGCGGUAGCUCGGGGUUCGAUUCCCCGUAUCCGAA